GGGUGUGAAUGAUCUUGGAGACUGCGGCGCCGUUGCUGCCCCCUGCUGUUAGCACCUGGAGCUGCAGCUGGUAAAUACUCUCAGCUUGAAGAUCAGGAAUAGUGACCGAUCGCUCAGACUGUGGAUCAACACACAGGGGAAAAGUCUUGCCUCCUUUGACCCUGAUGGAGGAGCACGUGGGGGUCGUUACCCAGGAAACAGCUUCUGAUCCUGGGUCAGCCUUCAACGCCACGGCGAUCCGGUACUUACAGGCGAACUGGAGGCCUGUGAUGGUGUGAUGGGUGCCCUGGAGAGAAAGAAAGCCAGUGGGAGUGGAGUUAGGGAUGAAAAUUGUUUAAAGACACAUUACAGUGUAGAAGUCUGCUUUGUUCCUGAAGAAGUGAAGAAGCUACGUUUGAUCUCAGCAACAGCGUGACAGCAGUAAUGUUCACCUGGUUUAAUGACUUCAUAUCCUGUCGCUUUUCGUUCCUGUGUUUUCCAUCAUACUGCGUUGGCAGCAGCUCCAGGCCCGACCGAAUAAAAUCAAUAUGUCAGCCACAUAACUGGAUCACGGCACAGAUCCUCAUUCUGAACGCUGCAGUGAGUGGCAUGUUGCUAGUCCGUUCCCAAAGGCUUAAACCUGACUUAAACACGUUGUCCAAACGCAGCAAAAGCACUUCUCUGUUGUCACUCUGCAUCGCUGAGCUGUCAGUGCCGUGAAGUCAAACCUCUAACUGAGUCACAUCCCAUGAAGAUAAUGGUGUGUUUGUCUGAGGACAUUAUUAAAUCUUCAGAUUCAUGAGGACCAUAUGCUCGAAAUGUC